rnacentral:rRNA from 1 species
CAGCAGCAGCCACGGUAAUACAGAGGGUGCGAGCGUUAAUCGGAUUUACUGGGCGUAAAGCGUGCGUAGGCGGCUUUUUAAGUCGGAUGUGAAAUCCCUGAGCUUAACUUAGGAAUUGCAUUCGAUACUGGGAAGCUAGAGUAUGGGAGAGGAUGGUAGAAUUCCAGGUGUAGCGGUGAAAUGCGUAGAGAUCUGGAGGAAUACCGAUGGCGAAGGCAGCCAUCUGGCCUAAUACUGACGCUGAGGUACGAAAGCAUGGGGAGCAAACAGGAUUAGAUACCCCUGUAGUCCCUGUCUCUUAUAC